GAUUGUUGGGUGGUGGUGGUGGUGGUGGAUUACUUGGAGGGGGUGGAGGCGAUUUGUUGGGUGGUGGCGGAUUGUUUGGUGGUGGUGGUGGUCUUAGAAAAAUAGGGGGUAGUAUCAAUGUAAUAGCACUAUUAGGUAUAGUACUAGUAGGUGGCUUGAGUUGCUCAUGAUGUUCUUCAGCAAGACAUGAAGUGAUGAGAACCACCACUCCCAGCAAUAGCACAAGAAAUUUUAAGUAACUCAUCUUUGAGCUUAUGAAGUUACAAAGAUCAUAUGGAGCAUCCUUUUAU
rnacentral:lncRNA from 1 species